GAUGAACGCUGGCGGCGUGCUUAACACAUGCAAGUCGAACGAUGAGGCCCUGCUUGUUGGGUGGACUCGUGGGGCAAGGGUGUGUGAAACGCGAGAAUAACGUGCUUGUGACUUGGGUAUAACUUGGGGAAACGGUGUCGAAUAGCAUAUGGGUUCUCCUCGUGCGGUGGGGGGGGUGGAGAUUUUCUGUGGUUGGGGAGGGACUCGCGGCUUAUCAGCUUUUUGGUGGGGUAGUGGCUCACCAAGGCGGUGACGGGUAGCCGGCCUGAGAGGGUGACCGGCCACACUGGGACUGAGACACGGCCCAGACUCCUACGGGAGGCAGCAGUGGGGAAUAUUGCACAAUGGGCGGAAGCCUGAUGCAGCGACGCCGCGUGAGGGAUGACGGCCUUCGGGUUGUAAACCGCUUUCGGUAGGGAAGAAGCGUGAGUGACGGUACCGGCAAAAGAAGCACCGGCUAACUACGUG
rnacentral:rRNA from 1 species